AAUUUUUGGUGGAGGCACAGGAAAUGAAACAGGUGAAGACUUGCUUGGAGUGGAUGCUGGAUGAAAUGAGCACGAUCAACGAACCUCAAAUCUGAGUUUACAUUGUGGUAGUGAUGUUAUUCCACUGCCAUUGUUGCAUCGGUAGAAUGUCAGCCAAUUGGACUGUUUAGAGCCCCUUUUUGAAGACAGGCCAAAUGACUCAAUUAGUGUAACUUGUGAUUGUCUGGUUGAGCCUCCCAUGGAUAAAUCAUUUGCAUUGCCAGAUGAAUGAAAUCUGUUAAGACAGAGGCGAUGUCUUGGGAUGUUAUCUGGGAGGUUUUUGACAAGAAAGCACACAAAGCUCUUUGUGGUAAUAGCUCUAACACCUGUACGUUGGACCCCUGCUUCAUCCUCCUCGUUAUGAUGGAUAAGAAGGAAAUAGGAUCUGGAAGAAGGCCCACGCCCAGACAGUGAAAUGCAAGCAGAGACCAAUCUGUCAAGCACGAAAGACCAGAUCCGCACGUGGAGAUUCAAUUAAACUGAUUUAUUGCUAAAAGCCUAUGCACAGGAAUCUUCUCAGCUAACGGUCAGCACCUGGCUAGAUUUAGAUAAAGAUCAAUGGCAUUCAAGGGGGGAGGGUGGCUUUAGUUUAACUGUGGCUAUGUAGGGAUUCAAGAUUAAUCCCCAUUUUCACCCUACCCCCAGGUUCUGCCAUUCCUUCUCCUAUGCAAUCCUUUAUUUGUUUACAUCUAAUAAACAGAAUCUUGUCAAA